UGCCAGACUGCUGCCUCCCAGAGCAC
rnacentral:piRNA from 1 species